AUAUCAGUCAUGCAUAGCAUAUCAAUAAGCGGAGGAAAAGAAACUAACAAGGAUUCCCCUAGUAACGGCGAGUGAAGCGGGAAGAGCUCAAAUUUGAAAUCUUAAAGGGUUUCCCUUUACGAAUUGUAGUUUAAAGAAGUGUUUUCUGUUGGAGUUUCGGUAAAAGUUCUUUGGAAUAGGACAUCAUAGAGGGUGAGAAUCCCGUAUUUGACCGUUACUUUCCAGCUGUGUGAUACACUUUCAAAGAGUCGGAUUGUUUGGGAAUGCAGUCCAAAAUGGGUGGUAAAUUUCAUCUAAAGCUAAAUAUUGGCGAGAGACCGAUAGCGAACAAGUACCGUGAGGGAAAGAUGAAAAGAACUUUGAAAAGAGAGUUAAACAGUACGUGAAAUUGUCAAAAGGGAAGCGUUUGACACCAGUGUUGUUUUUCGAAAAUCAAUUCAAGAAUGUUUUGAUUUUGAGUAGUAUUGACUUCAUCAGCUUGCUUCUUUCUUUACGAAACUUAUUGAAUGCACUUUUCAGGUUAACAAGUCAACAUCAAUUUCUUUUGUUGUAAAAGGGUAUGAGGAAGGUGGCUUACUCUUCGGCGUAAAGUGUUUAUAGCCUUGUAGCCUCUGCAAUCGGAGAGAUUGAGGUCUAGCAGCGUAGACUCUUCGGGGUUAGAUACACUUGUGCUAAGCUAUAGCCUUGUAUAGACAACUUGUUGACUAUGCUCAGUCAUGUAGCUUACUCGCUUAUGCUAUUUUACCUACGCUUAGGAUGUUGAUCUCUCACAGUCGAGC
rnacentral:rRNA from 1 species